CUUCCAUCCCGUCUCCUCAGACAAACACAUCACACUCGGGAUGCAUGUGGCUCAAUACCCACUCUUGGAUCAUCCCAUACUCAUAUCCCUGACUAGUGACAGACAGCAGCGCCAGCCAAUGGGCACACAGCCUCCGCUUCGCCUGCCUCCCUACCUGCCUGCUUGCAACUUCACAAAAUCUGGGACGCUCCUGCCAACAGACGCCCUCCUAGAACCUGGCUCUCCAUUCAAACCCGGGAACCCACUUUUAAGCCCCCCCCCACAUGCCUACCCCAACUGUGAUGAAGCCAACCGCGCUCCCAAACCACGGUUAGGGUUAAUGUCCCACUUGGGAAGCAUGGUCUGGUGCCCAUGUGGACACGGACCAAAAGGGGACAUGCGAGUCUGCUCCGAUCUGGACACUGUCCACGACGGAACAUGCGCGUCUGCUCCUUUCUGGACACUGUCCACGACGGAACAUGCGAGUCUGCUCCUUUCCGGACUCUGUCCACGACGGAACAUGCGAGUCUGCUCCGAUCUGGACACUGUCCACGACGGAACAUGCGAGUCUGCUCCGAUCUGGACACUGUCCACGACGGAACAUGCGAGUCUGCUCCGAUCUGGACACUGUCCACGACGGAACAUGCGAGUCUGCUCCAAUAUGGACACUGUCCACGACGGAACAUGCGAGUCUGCUCCGAUCUGGACACUGUCCACGACGGAACAUGCGCGUCUGCUCCUUUCUGGACACUGUCCACGACGGAACAUGCGAGUCUGCUCCUUUUCCGGACUCUGUCCACGACGGAACAUGCGAGUCGUGCUCCGAUCUGGACACUGUCCACGACGGAACAUGCGAGUCUGCUCCGAUCUGGACACUGUCCACGACGGAACAUGCGAGUCUGCUCCGAUCUGGACACUGUCCACGACGGAACAUGCGCGUCUGCUCCUUUCUGGACACUGUCCACGACGGAACAUGCGAGUCUGCUCCUUUCCGGACUCUGUCCACGACGGAACAUGCGAGUCUGCUCCGAUCUGGACACUGUCCACGACGGAACAUGCGAGUCUGCUCCUUUCUGGACACUGUCCACGACGGAACAUGCGCGUCUGCUCCUUUCUGGACUCUGUCCACGACGGAACAUGCGAGUCUGCUCCUUCGCUUGUCCACGACGGAACAUGCGAGGUCUGCUCCGAUCUGGACACUGUCCACGACGGAACAUGCGAGUCUGCUCCGAUCUGGACACUGUCCACGACGGAACAUGCGAGUCUGCUCCGAUCUGGACACUGUCCACGACGGAACAUGCGAGUCUGCUCCGAUCUGGACACUGUCCACGACGGAACAUGCGAGUCUGCUCCGAUCUGGACACUGUCCACGACGGAACAUGCGCGUCUGCUCCUUUCUGGACACUGUCCACGACGGAACAUGCGAGUCUGCUCCGAUCUGGACACUGUCCACGACGGAACAUGCGCGUCUGCUCCUUUCUGGACACUGUUCUUCAUAAUGAUAGUUGUAUGUCAUUGCAGGAGGGACAGCGCAGUGUUUUAAAGGUUUUUCAAAAACACUCUGGUACCUCUUUGUCACUGAGGCUGCAGCCCUCUGUUACAAAAAGUGUAGCCCUACACUUUUCGAAAUCUUCCCUUAACCUAACCCUAACCCCCUAACCCUAACCCUAACCCUAACCCUAACCCUAACCCCCUAACCCUAACCCUAACCCUAACCCCCUAACCCUAACCCUAACCCUAACCCCUUAACCGUUUUGAUUUUUUGGCUCUAACCU
rnacentral:lncRNA from 1 species